UACGAAGGGGGCUAGCGUUGCUCGGAAUCACUGGGCGUAAAGCGCACGUAGGCGGCUUUCUAAGUCAGGGGUGAAAUCCUGGAGCUCAACUCCAGAACUGCCUUUGAUACUGGGAAGCUCGAGUCCGGAAGAGGUGAGUGGAACUCUGAGUGUAGAGGUGAAAUUCGUAGAUAUUCGGAAGAACACCAGUGGCGAAGGCGGCUCACUGGUCCGGUACUGACGCUGAGGUGCGAAAGCGUGGGGAGCAAACAGG
rnacentral:rRNA from 1 species